rnacentral:lncRNA from 1 species
AUGGUAAAGUUAACUCCCAUGUGUUAUUUCUUUAGGAUGGAGCAGAGCCCCAACUUUCCACUGAGUUUCCUGAGACCGCCAUGUACACGAACCAAGACAAAGACCCAACGCGCUCCCAAAGCAUUUCCCAGGAUGCAGCAGAGCCCCAACUUUCCACUGAGUUUCCUGAGACCGCCAUGUCCACGAACCAAGACAAAGACUCAACGCGCUCCCAAAGCAUUUCCCAGAUCGCUGCACAUCACUAAUGCACACUGCGUCCAUACAGGAGCCUCGUUUGCUUGUGUUCACCGAUGUGUACGUGUGGAUUUCCCGGAGAGCAGCGGCGGCAGUGAAAUAAUGGCACAUAACUCAC